rnacentral:lncRNA from 1 species
CUGGGGUGUGAGGAGACUGGAAGGCCGAAGAGCCAGAGGGACAGGAAAUGAAGGCAGGACCUCAUUGAAAGCAUUCGCUCCAAGGCAGCCAGAAGUGUGAAGAAAAUAAAGCAACUAGAGGUUUUUGCGAAGCUGAUGUGCUCAUUCCGCUUUUAGCCCACUGGUUUCAAAGGGAGGCGCACACGCACUCUUUCCACAUGAUCCAGUCAUGGAUUCAGACCGCAGGCCAAGGCCACAAGCAACAGUGCCCUGCUACAUCUGCCUCGGCCCCUGGCGGCUGCCUUCCAAGAAGUGCUGGAACAGCGGAAGCAGCUAGCAGCGCGGCUGCAACCCCAUGAAGGAUCCCUUUCAAACGCAAUACAAGAAGAAUUAGCUUUACAGAGAUCACAAACAGUGCAUGGAUAUUGAGCUUGAGAUGACAUUUCCAGUGACCACAAUAUACAGACUCAAAAAACUCUAAAUCUCAAAGACACUUGGGCAGAAGCAAGACGGUGUGUUCUGGAAGACUGAGCAAGA